rnacentral:lncRNA from 1 species
UACCCAAGGGUAGGGGUAAGGUCUGCGUACAUAUUACCCUCCCCAGACCCCACUAAGUGGGAUUAUAUUGGGUUGUUGUUGUUGUUGUUGUAAUAUAUAGUACCUUGUUUUUAUUUUUUUAUCUUUUAUUUUUGUUGGUGAAUUUUUCUAGUAUAUUUAUUUAGUAAUUUUGUAGUGGUUCUUCCACCAUAUUAUUUUAGUCAAUUUUGGAAUAUGAUUAUUCGACUUAUUAUUUAUUUCAAAUUCAGUUAUUAUACUUUGUAAGAGAUUUGAAUUACUGUUUAACUAAUUUAGUAAUUUCAAGGCCUUGUAAUUAAAAUUCUAUAUAACCGGCAAUUUUUUUUGCUUAAUAAAUUUUGCUUCUUGGAAUGGUGGAGACACUAAAAUUGUAGGUCAUAAUACUUUUUAUCUUUAUUUCUGUUGUGGUUAUAUAUUUUGUUAGUAUUGCUUUAUACUUUAAUUAUCAUAUAAAAAGGGAUGAUUUAUGUAAUGCCUAUUUUUUGCGUCCACAAAAUUAUUGAGUGAACCUAGUUUCACUCAAUUUUGGAGUAUGAAUAUUCAACCUAUUAUUUAUUUCAAAUUCAGUUAUUAUAUUUUGUAAGAUAUUUGAAUUACUGCUUAACUAAUUUACUAUUAAGGCCUUGUAUUGGUAUUAGUUUAUUUUAAUAUUAAAAUUAUAAUAUUAAAGUGCAUUAUUUCCGGUGAAAUAGUGAUUAUCAAUUGGAAAGAAAGUGAUUAUUAUUUUGGUGUAACUAUUGAAACCAUUAAUAUCAUGAUCUACCACUAAUUACCCACUAAAAUUUAAAUUCUGUAACCAACAAUCAUGUUCUACAUUUAUUAUCUCACUACUUUGUUAUUUAUUCUAUGGAAGAAAUUUUACACCUAUUCUAUGGAAGAAAUUUUACACCUAUAGAUAGCGGUGUUACUUCCUUGUGUUGUUGAUGCGAAAAUGUUAGUGUGCAUGAAAAAAAGUAAAAUUGGUGUAGUAAAAGAGAGAGUUAAGCAAAGGAGAAAAAUCUAAUUCUCCAACUUAUUAUCUACAAAAAAAUAUUAUUUUGUUGAAUGAAGGUUAUCAUCUUGGUGGAGCUUUGGACUCAACAACUUGUCCAGGGUUUCUUCGAGUCAUACAAUGUUAUUGGGCUGUUGUAUCCUAAAAGGAACAACUCAAGAAUAUUAGGCUGGACCGGUAAAAAUGCUAUCUCAGUGGACUUGAAUCUCAAAAACCCUCGGAUUGGUGCUUUAACAUUUUCAAUAGGUUCAUAUGAUGAGUUUGAACUUAUACAUAUGUUUGGUUGGGGUCACGGGUGUCUCGAGGUCGUUUCGGUGCUUCUAGUUAAUAAGUCAAAAUUUGAUUUUAUGAAAAUUUGAAAAUCCUUGAGUUUUGAUGCAUGAUUAUUGAUUUUAGAUGUUAUUUUUAUGUUUUUUUAAUUUUUCGAGUGAGUUUGUGUAAGGUUUAUAAAUUUAUUAAGAUAUUUGAACGGGGCCCAAGGGGCUCAAAUGAGUUUUGGAUUGGCUUUAAGCAUUUUCUCUGAGUUUUGCUAUUGUUGGUGCUACAUGUAUCGCACCUGACCAGGUGCGACGUCUCUCCUGUGAUGGUUGUUUGGCAUGAAUGAGGGGAGGUCAGUCAGGUGUUGCACCAGGUGCAAGUAUGAACAUCAUAAAUCAGGUGGUUUUGCUCAGAGGUUAAUUAUGCUGGAGUAGAAAAUGAGAGUGCAUUACUAUGGACUUUGGAAAUUUUGAUGUUAUUUGGUUUAUUUUGGACGGACUGGCCAAAUAUGCACAUUUCAUUCCAGUAAUGACUUAUUACAUUUUAUGGAAGUUAGCUCAUAUUUGUAUCAGAGAGAUUGUUCAUUUGCACAAUGUGGCCACUCUAUCAUUUUAAACCUUGGUACCUAGUUCACAUUGCACUAUUGGAAAGUUAUUCAGUGGAGUUGGACACGCAAAUGGAUCUCAACAUUGUAUUCCACCCAUAGAUGAUCAGUCUAAGCGGUAUAUUCAGAUCACUGGGGAUGUGUUGAGAGCUUAUGAUAUUGAUUUUGGAGGCCUUUUGAAUCAGUUUCUACCAUAUUGAUAGAGUUUACUUGUAAUAACAACUAUCAGUCCAACAUUUAAAUAGCGUUGUAUGAGACUUUAUAUGGUAGGCGGUUUUGUUUUCCUAUUAACUGGUUUGGGUUUGUUGAGUCUAGAAUGUUGGGUACAUAUUUGAUCUAUGAUGCUUUAGUAUAUCUCCUAAAGAUUUUAAAUGUUCUUGUUGUUCAAAUUUAAGGAAAGGGAGACUGAAACUGAUAAGAAAUAGAUUAAUGUUGUUGAAUGGCAUAACAUACGCAAGAUUCACAGACUAUUGAAAAGAAACAACAAGCAGACUCAUUCACAACUUUGCUCAAAUAAUGUUGAAGUUGGUUAAAAGGAGGCAAAAAGGAAUAUAAAUAGUGUCUACUUCUUCCUCACUUGCUUCCAUAUUUACAUUCUCAUCUUAAACUAUUGGGUUAGGUUAUAAAUAUUUGUGUUUCUGAUCAUUUUGUGCAAAAAUAAACGAAUAUUAUCUUUGGAUCCUACAACUUCUUCAAUUAUAGUAUUCAAUUCAACAUGGUUCAUUUUUAAUCUCUAUUUUUGUUCCUUUUAGCAUUGAAAUAAUCGAGCAACUUAUUGAGAAAACCUAAGGCCUAGAAAAUGAUAUAUGACAAAUUAUUAUACCUUUUAAUUUUUUGGCAUGUAUUAAGUGCUCAUAUAUAUUAUUUUUGGUCUUUGUUUCUGCCUCAAUAGUGAAGGAAAAAGAAUCAUUUAUGAUGCCAUUUUUUAGAAGCUCAAGUCUCCUCCAUAAGCUGAUAUAAGUUGUGGGUAUCUCAUGCAGUUUAUACGUCAACUGAAGGGCUGUUUUUCUGAGGUUUGAGCUUGCUCGACAAGACAAGAGGGGUUGCUCUGAUGGUAAGCAACUCCCACUUCCAACCGAGAGGUUGUGAGUNNNNNNNNNNNNNNNNNNNNNNNNNNNNNNNNNNNNNNNNNNNNNNNNNNNNNNNNNNNNNNNNNNNNNNNNNNNNNNNNNNNNNNNNUCCACUUCCAACCGACAGGUUGUGUGUUCGAGUCUCCCCAAGAGCAAGGUGGGAAGUUCUUGGAGGGAAUGAUGCCGAGGGUCUAUUUGGAAACAGCCUCUCUACCCAAGGGUAGGGGUAAGGUCUGCGUACACACUAUCCUCCCAGACCCCACUAGGUAGGAUUAUACUGGGUUGUUGUUGUUGUUGUUGAGCUUGCUCGACAAGCUGUCACCACUUCAAAUUGAAGCUCUUGGUUUUGCCCUCCGAGAAUCACUAAAACUUGACUCAUGAAAACGAAGGUCUUUCCAUUCUGAAUUCCUUAUCUACUGCAAUUUAAGCCAUAUCUCAAGGUAAUCUGUUUCAUAUUUCAUUUAUUUUCUAGUUAUGUAACUGCUAUUGAAGGUGCAGAAAUACCAAGUAUAACUUAGCAAAAUCAGCAGAUACCAAUAUCUCCAAUAUCUAUUAGUUUACAUCUGAAGGUGCAGAAAUACCAAGGUGUAACUUAGCAAAAUCAGCAGAUACCGAUAUCUCCAAAAUCUAUUAGUUUACAUUGAUUCUUUAUCGUAUUUGGUGGUAGAUGCGUAAACUUGUUUUAAAGUUCUUAUGGAACAUCAUAAGACCAUAUGUUUAUUAUUUUGUAUUUCUAUUCACAACUUUGGAGAUUAAAAACACCCCCGUUUCAGAUGUUUACAGAGUAACACCUUUCUUAUAUACUUACCUGCAUGUGCUUUCUGUUGAUAUGAAGGAAAUAAAAUCUCUCUCUGGUGUAUUUAUCUAAACUCACUUUCUUCUCUUUGUUUGUUUGCCUCUGAAUAUCCAAAAGAACAUUAAAAUUUAUGGUAUAUUAUGCUCAUUAGUUGGUUACAGCACGAACAACUGAGAUAUUCAUUAAAAACAAACAGUAUUGCAAAUGAUUUGAUAAAAUAUUAAGAUUCCUGCCAUUCCCAAAUUGAUUGAUGUUGAUUUAAGAACCACAAAAAAAUAAGAAUUUCAGCUCUGUUUAUCAAUGCCUAAAUCUUACCAAAUAUUGGAAGAAAGUGAUAUAACAUUUGGAAGUAGAACAAAGCUGGACACUCUUCUAUGCCUUUUGUUCAAAGAUUGAUAUAGCAACCAAAUUAGAACUUUUUUGGUUGGAUUUAUUUUAUUUUGUGAAAUCACUGAAAUUUGUCUUUACUAACUAAUAUGUUAUGCAAAGAAAUUAACUUUUUCAGUAGCAUGUUUGCAUGUUUUAAAAAAGGUAAAAGGGCUCAAUUUUUGUCUAAUAGGAAUAUGUUCUUCAUAGACACAGAGAACAUUAGUAGCUGGCCUUUAUAUACUCUUU